rnacentral:rRNA from 1 species
GCUUGCACCUUAUCUUAGCGGCGGACGGGUGAGUAAUGCUUAGGAAUCUGCCUAUUAGUGGGGGACAACAUUCCGAAAGGAAUGCUAAUACCGCAUACGUCCUACGGGAGAAAGCAGGGGAUCUUCGGACCUUGCGCUAAUAGAUGAGCCUAAGUCGGAUUAGCUAGUUGGUGGGGUAAAGGCCUACCAAGGCGACGAUCUGUAGCGGGUCUGAGAGGAUGAUCCGCCACACUGGGACUGAGACACGGCCCAGACUCCUACGGGAGGCAGCAGUGGGGAAUAUUGGACAAUGGGGGGAACCCUGAUCCAGCCAUGCCGCGUGUGUGAAGAAGGCCUUAUGGUUGUAAAGCACUUUAAGCGAGGAGGAGGCUACUGAGACUAAUACUCUUGGAUAGUGGACGUUACUCGCAGAAUAAGCACCGGCUAACUCUGUGCCAGCAGCCGCGGUAAUACAGAGGGUGCGAGCGUUAAUCGGAUUUACUGGGCGUAAAGCGUGCGUAGGCGGCUUUUUAAGUCGGAUGUGAAAUCCCCGAGCUUAACUUGGGAAUUGCAUUCGAUACUGGGAAGCUAGAGUAUGGGAGAGGAUGGUAGAAUUCCAGGUGUAGCGGUGAAAUGCGUAGAGAUCUGGAGGAAUACCGAUGGCGAAGG